rnacentral:rRNA from 2 species
UGGGGAAUAUUGGACAAUGGGCGCAAGCCUGAUCCAGCCAUGCCGCGUGUGUGAAGAAGGCCUUCGGGUUGUAAAGCACUUUCAGCGAGGAGGAAGAGGUAGACGUUAAUAGCGGUUAUCUUUGACGUUACUCGCAGAAGAAGCACCGGCUAACUUCGUGCCAGCAGCCGCGGUAAUACGAGGGGUGCAAGCGUUAAUCGGAAUUACUGGGCGUAAAGCGUACGUAGGCGGUUAAUUAAGUUGGAUGUGAAAGCCCCGGGCUCAACCUGGGAAUUGCAUUCAAAACUGGUUGACUAGAGUAUGUGAGAGGGGGGUAGAAUUCCAAGUGUAGCGGUGAAAUGCGUAGAGAUUUGGAGGAAUACCAGUGGCGAAGGCGGCCCCCUGGCACACUACUGACGCUGAGGUACGAAAGCGUGGGGAGCAAACAGG